GUCCAUUGUUACCAAGGCAUUAACAACACUUACCAAACAAAGUCUAGAAGCCCUUUGGGCAGUCUUGCUAAGAACCAUCUUAUUCUAGACUGAUUUGGCCUUGAGGAUGACCACAUCUCCUCAGGACAGUUCUCCCUGGAUUCCUCCAUUGGCUAUUUUGGGAAAUGACGCACUUGGACAAAUGGUCUACCUAAAUGAAUGAUUCAGGUCUGAGCAGCAUGAGACACUGGCAGAUAGGAAUGCCUCCCUUAGCAGCAGGAAAUUCAGCACUUACCACAUCCCAUGCGGCAUACUCUCCCAGAAUACUUUUAAUAUGAUAUCCCAGUGUAUUUAACAUUUUAAAAUUACUCCAUUUGGUUAAAAUCAAUUAGAUUUUUUUGAGGAUCUUGGUCUUUCUCCAGCCCAGUUUAAACCAUAAUUUCCUGAAGACUAGGAUUAUCUCACCAUGUUCUUUUUCACGUCCCCGUCAUUUCUAGUCAAGCCUCAAAACGUGAAGUCUGCACUGUGGGUUCAUAGCACCUCAGAGAUCAUCUCGAUUCUCCCCAUCCCACAGUGGGAAAGUGACCUCAGUCAACGUGGAGUAGAGUGUUUAGUCUCAGCCUUAAAAUAAGUGUUUUCAUUUUUAUUGUCUUUUCUUCCUGUCUGCUUCUCAGAGUAGAAGCAACAGUAAUUUAAACUUUUCUGCUAUGCGACCUACACUCCACAGGAUGGUGCUGGUGUGCACAGGGAGCAGCCACGUCAAUUUACACAUUUGCCAAGGACAAUGAGAAUACAGUUUCCUCCGGAAAAAUCUUAGGCUGAUCUUGGAAGAAAGACCCCGUGGAUCAUCUAAAAAUAAAGUUUUCUAUUUAAAGAUAUUAUUGUUGCCACUUUAUAGAUGAAAAAACGGAAGCAAAACCAUUAAGUGCCUUCCCCAAGGUCUUAAAAGAAGUCACCAAGAAGGUGGUGUGGCUCAAGUCUCCUGACUCCAGUUUACUAUUCCCCGCAAUAAUGUUGGAAAACCACAUUGGAACGGGAAGACUCAUUCCAAGUACUGCUGUCACACCAGCAAGCUUCAAAGAACAUCCCUGUAGCUAAAUGGUGUUCAAAGUAAACAUGGAGAACAGAAAGCAUCCAUCUCUACCUAGUGGGGCAAAAAAUGACUGAAUUCCCAUACCAUAUAAAUACCCCAUGAAAACACAGAGGAAUCCUUGAUCCACCCAGCAUUCACUGAGUAUCUGCCUCGUGGCAAGCACUGCGGAUGUGCUUGGAUACAAAGAUAAAUAAAACGUGGGCUCCACUCCCAGCAGUUCAACAUCUAGCAGUCUUUGUCCCAUGCUCUUAAAUCUUGCUAAGGAUUGGGUUUUGUUUGUAAUAGAAAUUCUAAAGCAGGGACAGAAGAAGUUAUCUUUCCUAAAUUGCCCACCUCUGUUGUCUAAUUAUUCC